rnacentral:rRNA from 1 species
UACGUAGGGUGCAAGCGUUGUCCGGAAUUAUUGGGCGUAAAGCGCGCGUAGGCGGCCACUUAAGUCGGAUGUGAAAGCCCCUGGCUCAACUGGGGAAGUGCACCCGAAACUGAAUGGCUUGAGUGCGAAAGAGGGUCGCGGAAUUCCCGGUGUAGAGGUGAAAUUCGUAGAUAUCGGGAGGAACACCGGUGGCGAAGGCGGCGACCUGGGUCGACACUGACGCUGAGGCGCGAAAGCGUGGGGAGCAAACAGG